GGUGGCUCAGUGGUAGAGCGCUCGUCUUGCAAGCAUGAGGCCCUGGGUUCGAUUCCUCAGCACCA
rnacentral:tRNA from 1 species